rnacentral:rRNA from 1 species
AAGGAAUAUUGGUCAAUGGAGGGAACUCUGAACCAGCCAUUCCGCGUGAAGGAUGACGGCCCUCUGGGUUGUAAACUUCUUUAGUCUGGGAAGAAAAGUUUGCAUUUAUGCGAAUCUGACGGUACCAGAAGAAUAAGCACCGGCUAACUCCGUGCCAGCAGCCGCGGUAAUACGGAGGGUGCAAGCGUUAUCCGGAAUCACUGGGUUUAAAGGGUGCGUAGGCGGCAUUAUAAGUCAGGAGUGAAAUUCCACAGCUUAACUGUAGGGACUGCUUUUGAUGCUGUAGUGCUAGAACCGAGAUGAGGUAGGCGGAAUGUGACAUGUAGCGGUGAAAUGCAUAGAUAUGUCAUAGAACACCAAUUGCGAAGGCAGCUUACUAGACUUAGGUUGACGCUGAGGCACGAAAGCGUGGGGAGCAAAC